AGUGAACGCUGGCGGUAGGCCUAACACAUGCAAGUCGAACGGCAGCACAGUAAGAGCUUGCUCUUACGGGUGGCGAGUGGCGGACGGGUGAGGAAUACAUCGGAAUCUACUUUUUCGUGGGGGAUAACGUAGGGAAACUUACGCUAAUACCGCAUACAACCUACGGGUGAAAGCAGGGGAUCUUCGGACCUUGCGCGAGUGAAUGAGCCGAUGUCGGAUUAGCUAGUUGGCGGGGUAAAGGCCCACCAAGGCGACGAUCCGUAGCUGGUCUGAGAGGAUGAUCAGCCACACUGGAACUGAGACACGGUCCAGACUCCUACGGGAGGCAGCAGUGGGGAAUAUUGGACAAUGGGCGCAAGCCUGAUCCAGCCAUACCGCGUGGGUGAAGAAGGCCUUCGGGUUGUAAAGCCCUUUUGUUGGGAAAGAAAAGCAGCAGGUUAAUACCCCGCUGUUCUGACGGUACCCAAAGAAUAAGCACCGGCUAACUUCGUG
rnacentral:rRNA from 1 species